GACGAACGCUGGCGGCGGGCUUGACACAUGCAAGUCGAACGGAAAGGCCCUGCUUGUGUGGUGUUCUCGAUUGGCGAACGGGUGAGUAACACGUGAGUAACCUACCCUUGACUUUGGUGUAACUUCAGGAAACUGGGGCUAAUACCAUAUAGGAUCUCCUGCUGCAUGGUAAGGGUUGGAAAUUUUCGGCGGUUGGGGCUGGACGCGCGGCUGAUCAGCUUGUUGGUGGGGGAGUGGCUUACCAAGGCUUUGACGGGUAGCCGGCCUGAGAGGGUGACCGGCCACCUUGGGCCUGCGGUACGGACCAGACUCCUACGGGAGGCAGCAGUGGCGAACCUUGCCCAAUGGGAGGACGCCUGAUGAAGAAACGCCGCGUGUGGGAUGCCGGCUUUUGGGUUGUAAAACGCUUUAGCCUGUGACGAAGCGUGAGUGACGGUAAUGGGUAAAGAAGCACCGGCUAACUACGUG
rnacentral:rRNA from 1 species